ensembl:lncRNA
UUUUUUUUUUUUUUUUUUUUUUUUUUUGGUUGGUUGGUUGGUUGGUUGCCUGCUUGCUUGCUUGCUUUUUCUCUCUUUAUUACAAUUGGAAAGCAGAACUAGUGAUGGAUGGAGAAUGAGGAGAAAUUGGUCCUCCUUACCACCAGUAAAUAAGAAUGCUAAUGUCAAUGCAUGUAACUUUAACCUAAAUCUUAGAAGGAGCAUUUUAGGGCAAAAGUGUCAGCUAGAGGAAAACAGAGAUAAAAGUCCCACAUCCUAGCAUUUGUUCCAGAUUCAGGACAAAGCAACAGCAUACCAGUUAAAAGCUGAAAUCAUUGCAAUCUUUCUAGACUUCCACCUGGGCUCCAUGGAUGGUGUGCAGUAUUUCAGGUAUCUCACGCUUUGUGUCCACUGCUGUGUUAAAAUUGUCAAGAGAAGAAAAGAAGAAAGCUCUGGGCUGAAUCAUAAAGCAGUAGUCAUUGGAGAUCAGAAACUUCAAUAUGAAAAGAUGUGCCAGGUUGAAAAGCCAGUGAAAGAGAUCCAGGGUGCAGCGGCAGAGCAGAAAUGGCCAUGAUGGAAUGAAAAUUCAGCAUAUUCUCCCAAAAACCUCAAUACUCCCUGAGCACUCUCAUUGCCACAGUCAGCAUGCACAGGGCAACAGUUCAGAUGUGUGUGGUCAGCAACUGUUUUGUAGACCAAAAAAAAAGCAUCAACUGAAAAUGUUCUACGAAGGAGAACAUUUCUACUCACACAUACAUAAGCUUGUGUGUACACAUGGCAACGUAUGUAGACAUUUACGAACAUGCUUUCCAUAUGGCAAUUAAUACCUUGAAAAUUCCCUGGCAAGACUCCAUGAUUGGAAAAUGGAUUAACAACAUCUCCUCACCCCCUAAGUAAUAAUAGUAAUAAAAGAAAACCUAAAAAACAAGCCACUGUUCAGUAUAAUUCUCUGUAUUUUUUUAAAAUACCAUGACUUUUUUGUGUAUAGCCCAUUAGAAAAGGAGCAUGGAAGAUAAACAGGUCCCUGUAUUGUUGUUUGUUAGUUUAUUUCCCUUGAGUCUUUUAAAAGCCAGAGCCUGAUUUAGCAAUUAGUGUUUGUACUUGCAUGUCUUCUGCAAUUAGCUAAUACAGCAAAUUAGGGAAUAAGAAAUAAACAUUAUUAUGAAAACCAAAUAUUAACAUAAAAUAAAACAUACCUGAUGAAAAAUUGAUGUUGUUGAGUCACUCAGAAAACAUACUUUGCUGUUAAUGACCAACAAUAAUUCCAAAUAUAUGUUAUUGUUUCCUUUAUAAUACAGUUCUCCCUUCAUAAUGCAAAUCCUUAUUAAAACACUUUGUUAAGCCUUGGAAAAGAUAUUACAUGACAGCACUGUUUCAUAAGAAUUUCUUCUAACUUGUAGAAAGAGAAAUGAGAAUUUGAAUGGUUUGUCUCUUAAAACAGCUGCUGAUAAGUGUAUAU